GACGAACGCUUUCGGCGUGCUUAACACAUGCAAGUCGAACGGAAAGGCCCUGCUUUUGUGGGGUGCUCGAGUGGCGAACGGGUGAGUAACACGUGAGUAACCUGCCCUUGACUUUGGGAUAACUUCAGGAAACUGGGGCUAAUACCGGAUAGGAGCUCCUGCUGCAUGGUGGGGGUUGGAAAGUUUCGGCGGUUGGGGAUGGACUCGCGGCUUAUCAGCUUGUUGGUGGGGUAGUGGCUUACCAAGGCUUUGACGGGUAGCCGGCCUGAGAGGGUGACCGGCCACAUUGGGACUGAGAUACGGCCCAGACUCCUACGGGAGGCAGCAGUGGGGAAUAUUGCACAAUGGGCGGAAGCCUGAUGCAGCAACGCCGCGUGCGGGAUGACGGCCUUCGGGUUGUAAACCGCUUUCGCCUGUGACGAAGCGUGAGUGACGGUAAUGGGUAAAGAAGCACCGGCUAACUACGUGCCAGCAGCCGCGGUGAUACGUAGGGUGCGAGCGUUGUCCGGAUUUAUUGGGCGUGAAGGGCUCGUAGGUGGUUGAUCGCGUCGGAAGUGUAAUCUUGGGGCUUAACCCUGAGCGUGCUUUCGAUACGGGUUGACUUGAGGAAGGUAGGGGAGAAUGGAAUUCCUGGUGGAGCGGUGGAAUGCGCAGAUAUCAGGAGGAACACCAGUGGCGAAGGCGGUUCUCUGGGCCUUUCCUGACGCUGAGGAGCGAAAGCGUGGGGAGCGAACAGGCUUAGAUACCCUGGUAGUCCACGCUGUAAACGGUGGGUACUAGGUGUGGGGUCCAUUCCACGGGUUCCGUGCCGUAGCUAACGCUUUAGGUACCCCGCCUGGGGAGUACGGCCGCAAGGCUAAAACUCAAAGGAAUUGACGGGGCCCCGCACAAGCGGCGGAGCAUGCGGAUUAAUUCGAUGCAACGCGUAGAACCUUACCUGGGUUUGACAUGGAUCGGGAGUGCUCAGAGAUGGGUGUGCCUCUUUUGGGGUCGGUUCACAGGUGGUGCAUGGCAGUCGUCAGCUCGUGUCGUGAGAUGUUGGGUUAAGUCCCGCAACGAGCGCAACCCUUGUUCACUGUUGCCAGCACGUUAUGGUGGGGACUCAGUGGAGACCGCCGGGGUCAACUCGGAGGAAGGUGGGGAUGACGUCAAGUCAUCAUGCCCCUUAUGUCCAGGGCUUCACGCAUGCUACAAUGGCUGGUACAGAGAGUGGCGAGCCUGUGAGGGUGAGCGAAUCUCGGAAAGCCGGUCUCAGUUCGGAUUGGGGUCUGCAACUCGACCUCAUGAAGUCGGAGUCGCUAGUAAUCGCAGAUCAGCAACGCUGCGGUGAAUACGUUCCCGGGGCU
rnacentral:rRNA from 1 species